AUCAGUUCUCGGCCUCUUGACUAAGAUCAAGUAUAGUAUCUGUUUUUAUCAGUUUAACAUAUGACAUGUCCUCUAUUCAAGAACAAUAUAUUAAAUGGAUUUUUGGAGCUGGGAGAUGGAAUAGGACCUUGCUCCAUCCACUGCACACAUAGACCUGGAAAGGGGGCGAGGCAAAGAUACCAGAGUCCAAGGUCAUCAC
ensembl:snRNA U2 U2 spliceosomal RNA